GGAAGUCCGGCCUAGCUACUUAGUAACAACCAUCGGGUAACAACGUACUGAAGCCUCCUCACGCUCACAAAUGCACCAUACUGCUCAUGUCCUGCUGUAAUCAUUUUUUCUUCCCAUCGAAAGCAAUGGCUUGAUUACUUCUAUCCAGGUCUGAAGCCCACACACUUACUCUGACCACAAUAUCAGCACUUACAUCCAAUGAGCAUGACACAGAUGGAGAAGAUCUUCUCAGAGUUGGUGUUGGGGGACACGUUUCCAAAGCCCACGCUGGUCAGACUGCUGAAGCGCUUCAGCCCAGAGAACAGACAGAGAUGGGUUCAUUCUGACUCAGCAGACAGUACCAGAUGCAGGCCAGCCAGUGAGCGAUGAGAGCGAAGGUGCACAUGAGGAGGAAGAGGACAGCAGCGCCGUACUCCGAGUAGCGGUCCAACUUCCUGGCCACCCGCACCAACCGCAGCAGACGGGCCGUUUUCAGCAGACCAAUCAGAGUGGUGGUCUGAUGAGAGUGGGAGAGAAGGAGCAGAUAAACAGAUCCAUGGUGACAUACCUCCUCUCCAUUGCGGUAGAUGAGCAGGUCAAAGGGAAUAGCAGCCACCAUGUCGAUGAGGAACCAGCCUUUGAAGUAGUGGACGGCGAUACGCACCGGAUGGCUCACCACCUCAUCAUUAGAGUUCACAUAAGUAGUCCUGAGAACAAGAGAGCAGAUUAUCAAACCUGCUGAUAGUUGGUAUUCUAAUACUUCUGGCACAACCACUGAAACUACCAUUUAACUUAAAACGCAUCACUACUGUUUAACAAUUUACUAUCAGAUGUUUUCUUCUUCUACAACCAGCUCUAAUAACACUUUAAUGGGAACUGGAUUUAGGAAUUAAACUUGAAGCAUUUUUGUGUUUUUACUAUGACUAAAUGUAAGUACUGCUACUGUUGGAGCUCUUUCUACUGCUACAAAUACUGCUGCUGUUCACACCUGAAGUUUAUGAGGAUGUCAAUAAUGAACAUGAUGUCCACAAUGAGGUCCACCACGUUGAGAGGAGAGCAGGAGUAACCACAGCUCUGCAUGGCUGCCUCUUCCUGAGAGAGAAGAGAGGAGAGGAGAAUCAUAAUCUAACGCUCUAAAAAUAGAAGGCAUCUUUCAGAUGGAUUAGCAUCAGGAGUUUGAGGAUAAUUUGCAUACUUAUGUAGACAAAACAUGAGGAGACAAUAGCUCAACAGAUGUGCUUUUACCUUUACAAGUACAACGUUCUACAGCAUUACUUUAUUUAGAGCUGUAUUUAUAGCUCCCAUUAGGAGCUCUAUUGCGUUCUGUAUUUAACCCUCUGAACCCCAGGCAGUCUCUGGGUGGUGUUUUUCACUGCAGUAUAAAGUCCUGCACCUCUAGAGAAACAAAAGUUGAAUCUGCUCAAUUUCUUAUUUUGCAAAAAUAAUAAUAAUAAAAAAGACUGAAAUUGACAUGUGUAACAUUUUUCCACAUGCCCAAAGUACUGCUACCAGUACCAAUACUGUAAAGUACAGUGAUGACUCUGCAUAUGUUUUAUUUGUUCACAUACUUCUCUAAACAAAUCCUGCAGUUCAGCCCCGUUCAGCUCAACUUUGUCAUUUUCCUGCUGCUCACAGUCGACUCACUAACAGCUUUGAUUUGUUCCAGGACUGCUGAAAGUUGAACAUUUCUGGCUCUGAUAAAUGGUGUUUCUUGGCAAUUUUUUAAAGAUAAAUGGUGGGUUCUGGGGUUCAGAGGGGUAAAACACUGCCCUGUACUAAUCAUAAUAGCAGGCAGGGUGUGUUUCCUUUGUCUGACCCUCAAAUCAAGGUCUUAGGAUUACAUGUUGUACUGAUAUUGUGGUUUGUGGGCAUUUUAAAUAACUUGGUAGCAGUUUGAAUUGUUAUUCUAUCCUUAGCUGUGGCCCCACCUGCUCACUGAGGAGGAAAGCAGCUGAGUAGGGAGUCAGGAUGGCGGUGUAGAUGACCAGCAGCAGAAUGAGCCAGUCCCACACCGCCUUGAAGGGGCUGUAGUGCAGCACUGUCCACUUGUGGAUGCGAGGAGCCUGGAGCUUGUACUCUGGCAGCACAUCUGCACCCAGAGACAGCACCUGGGUAGAGACAGGAGGACAGAGGGCUGAUCAGAUGUGGAAUAACAGGACUGAGGAAGAAGAGGGAGAGGGGGAUGAAGGGCUGAGGAAGCUGGGAGAGAAUAAAUAAUGAGAGACAAGGGGAAGAGUGAAGGGAAAAAGAGACUCAAGACUGUGAAAGUAAAACCUGCAUGUGAAGAAAAAUGACAUACAAACUCCCACAGCUUUGCAUCCAGCCUGAGAACAUACAGAUGCUCAGUUCCAUGUGUAAUGUUCCUUCAGUAGCUCCAACAAUGAUGUUCUGCAAUGACAGCAAUAGAGCCAGGGUCCACUAAAGAUGAUGGGAACUGUUCUGAAGGCAGCAACCCUCUUCAGGUUACCCUCCCAGGCAACAUGGGUCCCACAGAAACACACAUCAAUGCAUAGAUAUAUGCACAGAAACUCUUAAUAAGCACACACACGCACGCACACACACAUACACCUACACACACACCUACACACACACCUACACACACCUACACACGCACGCACGCACACACACACACACACACACACACACACUCCACAGCCGUGAUUCCUCACAUUUUCCUGUUCUAGUGGCUCUGAUAGUGACAGGGAACUGCAGAAUAUUCCAACCUAUGAACACACACACCCAGAUCCUUCUCCUCCAUCUCCCCCCUCGCACAAAAACACACCUCAGGAAUGAAAUCUGGGGUAUUACGGUGCAGUUCUAAGUAGCUUUACUUGCAGUAAUGUAUUCGACUGUGUGCACUGUGCUCGCCCUGGAUGGGAGCAGGAAUGAAUCAGUAUGAAGACACAUUAGCACAGCCUGCCUAAUAGAAUCACCGUGAAGCGUUGAAAGCAAGGGCAGGAGAAACACUGAGCAAAUGACAAAUCCAGAAGUGAGUUUGGACUGACUUUCAGCAGCGUACUGUCCUCACACAGACAGCAGGCUACGUGGACUUAGAGAGCCUGAAUACUAAACGCACUAGUUAUGGUAUUACUGAUGCCCUGUCAUGGACACCUUACAGUAUGAUGUAAUCCAAGGCAAUGCCACCAGCUUUGGCCUAGAGGGGCAUAAUCACCUCUCAGUCUCAUAAACAGGAACACAAUACGCUUCAUAAACAGAAGAUGAAUUAGCAGUAGAGUCAGAAAGUCUGUGUCACUUUACCACAGUGAAAUCAGAAGUGUGAAGAUAAAGUGCUGACUUUGGUUAUAUUCUGUCUACGUCAACAUCAGAUUAUUGUGUGGGUAUUAUAAAUUAGCACUUAUUAUGCAUAUCCCUCCUCAAUAUGCAGCCUUUUUUCCUCUGGACUGUUUUCAACAGAGAAACAAAGGGCAGCAUCUGAACGGUAACCUGCUAACUUUUUUUUAUUGUUUUAUUGUAUAUUUUACGAGCUGCACAGUGGCAUGGUGGUUAGCACUGUCGCCUUGCAGCUAGAAGAUCCCCGGUGUACAUCCCAGCCUUCUUGGGAUCUUUCUGCAUGGAGUUUCCAUGUUCUCCCUGUGCAUGUGUGGAUUUUCUGAUGGUUCUCCAGCUUCCUCCCACAGUCCAAAAACAUGCUGAGGUUAAUUGGUGACUCUGAAAAACACACAAGGUAAUUUGUUCUAACCGUUGGCAGACUGAAAAAAAGCGGAACAGAGUAUUGUAGUGUAGAAAAGUGUUACUCCAAACAUGAUUACUUGAAAACAGAGUAGCCAGGAUUUUAAAGUUAUAAAAAAGCAUUACAAGAUGGGAUUAGGUGUGAAUGUGAGUGUGAUUGUUUGUCCUGUUUUAAGUUACUGUAUUGUUUUUAAGUUAUUCUCUCGUUUGUCACUGUGAAGCACUUUGGUCACCCUUUGGGCUGUUGUAAAGGGCUAUAGAAAUAAACUUUGAUUGACAGAUUGA